rnacentral:rRNA from 1 species
AACGAACGCUGGCGGCAUGCCUAACACAUGCAAGUCGAACGAGACCUUCGGGUCUAGUGGCGCACGGGUGCGUAACGAGUGGGAAUCUGCCCCUUGGUUCGGAAUAACAGCGAGAAAUUGCUGCUAAUACCGGAUAAUGACGUAAGUCCAAAGAUUUAUCGCCAAGGGAUGAGCCUGCGUAGGAUUAGCUAGUUGGUGUGGUAAAGGCGCACCAAGGCGACGAUUCUUAGCUGGUCUGAGAGGAUGAUCAGCCACACUGGGACUGAGACACGGCCCAGACUCCUACGGGAGGCAGCAGUGGGGGAAUAUUGGACAAUGGGCGAAAGGACCUGAUCCAGCAAUGCCGCGUGAGUGAUGAAGGCCUUAGGGUU